rnacentral:rRNA from 1 species
UUUCCCCCCCCGCAUAUCAAUAAGCGGAGGAAAAGAAACUAACAAGGAUUCCCCCUAGUAACUGCGAGUGAAGCGGGAAAAGCUCAAAUUUAAAAUCUGGCGGUCUUUGGCCGUCCGAGUUGUAAUCUGGAGAAGUGCUUUCCGCGCUGGACCGUGUACAAGUCUCUUGGAAUAGAGCGUCAUAGAGGGUGAGAAUCCCGUCUUUGACACGGACUACCAGUGCUUUGUGAUGUGCUUUCAAAGAGUCGAGUUGUUUGGGAAUGCAGCUCAAAAUGGGUGGUAAAUUCCAUCUAAAGCUAAAUAUUGGCGAGAGACCGAUAGCGAACAAGUACCGUGAGGGAAAGAUGAAAAGCACUUUGGAAAGAGAGUUAAACAGUACGUGAAAUUGCUGAAAGGGAAACACUUGAAGUCAGUCGCGUUGUUCAGAACUCAGCCUGGCCUCGGCUUGGUGCAUUUUCUGAACGACGGGCCAGCAUCAAUUUUGACCGUUGGAUAAAGGCCAGAGAAAUGUGGCUCCUUUGGGAGUGUUAUAGUCUUUGGUUGCAUACAAUGGUUGGGAUUGAGGUACUCAGCAUGCCUUUAUGGUCGGGGUUCGCCCACGUUCAUGCUUAGGAUGCUGGCGUAAUGGCUUUAAAUGACCCGUCUUGAAACACGGACCAAGGAGUCUAACAUGCCUGCGAGUGUUUGGGUGGAAAACCCGAGCGCGCAAUGAAAGUGAAAGUUGGGAUCCCUGUCGUGGGGAGCACCGACGCCCGGACCAGACCUUCUGUGACGGAUCCGCGGUAGAGCAUGUAUGUUGGGACCCGAAAGAUGGUGAACUAUGCCUGAAUAGGGUGAAGCCAGAGGAAACUCUGGUGGAGGCUCGUAGCGAUUCUGACGUGCAAAUCGAUCGUCAAAUUUGGGUAUAGGGGGCGAAAGACUAAUCGAACCAUCUAGUAGCUGGGUUCUGCGA